rnacentral:rRNA from 1 species
UAAGACGAGGGGUCCUAGCGUUGUUCGGAAUCAUUGGGCGUAAAGCGUAUGUAGGCGGCUUUUCAAGUCAGAUGUGAAAGCCCACGGCUUAACCGUGGAAAUGCAUUUGAAACUGCUAAGCUUGAGUGCGAAAGAGGAUGGUAGAAUUCCAGGUGUAGUGGUGAAAUACGUAGAUAUCUGGAGGAAUACCGGAGGCGAAGGCGGCCAUCUGGUUCGCUACUGACGCUGAGAUACGAAAGUGUGGGGAUCAAACAGG